CUACGGGUGGCUGCAGUGGGGAAUUUUGCGCAAUGGGGGAAACCCUGACGCAGCGACACCUCGUGGGUGAUGACGUUUUUCGGAAUGUAAAGCCCUGUCAGUGGGGACGAUUAUGACGGUACCCACAAAGGAAGCACCGGCUAAUUCCGUGCCAGCAGCCGCGGUAAUACGGAGGGUGCAAGCGUUGUCCGGAUUUAUUGGGCGUAAAGAGUACGUAGGCGGUUUUGUAAGUUAGAUGUGAAAGGCACAGGCUCAACCUGUGUUUGCGUCUAAAACUGCAUGACUAGAGGUCGGGAGAGGAAAGCGGAACUCACAGUGUAGCGGUGAAAUGCGUAGAUAUUGUGAGGAACACCAGUGGCGAAGGCGGCUUUCUGGACCGAUUCUGACGCUGAGGUACGAAAGCGUGGGGAGCAAACAGGAUUAGAUACCCGAGUAGUC
rnacentral:rRNA from 1 species